UGUUCUUGGUCAGAACCAGCUGACAGUCUGGAAUCACUGCGGCCAUAUGCCACAAGUUGCCAUCUCGUUGUGGUUCAGCGUAGAUAUUAUACAAACGUAUUUCUAUCGCCAUCUAAGUCUGCAUCGUUCGCUUGCACCCUCUGGGAACAGGCGGUGUUCCGGGGGCUCUGAGGAUGCGCCGCACGUACCCCGAUCGCUGCGAUUAGGACGCAGCAGAACCCACUUUCUAACGAUAAGGCGCAGCCCCGUCUGCCAGGCGGGCGCCGCGCAUGACGGCUGACGUCACGCUGUCUCGCGACUCGGCGGAAAACGAAGCACGGGGGCGGGGGUGAGACUCGCGAGGUGAUUUAAUAUAACGGCUAACAAAUAUCCCGGAUUCCAAAUUGGGGUUCGGCCACAUUCCUGUGUAGCCUGUUUCUAUCAGUAUUCACUCAACAUUUACACUAUCGAUCGACAUAUCCGUAUUCGCACACUGCUUUCCGGUCACCGGUAUGGGAUGCCUGCAAAGGAGCUGCCGACGGCUAAGGGUGAGACUGAAAUCCCCAGCCCGUAUUGGCUGCCUGCUGAAGGAGGUGGGGAGGAUGCCUUUGUGAGCAUCACCGAACAUCCUUGUGUGAUCCAGCUUAUCUAGAGAGAGUCCAUCACGCGCUCCUGACAUAAUGAUAAGGGUGAUUGGAUCCAGCGGGGAGGCUUUUUCACCGGAGGGCCGCCGUGACCUUGUUUCCAACACGCAGCCUAAUAUAUCGAUUCUUCUCUCACUCGACCUCCUUGAUAUUAAUAAAAUAUAAGUUUGUAUA